UACGUAGGGUGCGAGCGUUAAUCGGAAUUACUGGGCGUAAAGCGUGCGCAGGCGGUUCUCCAAGUCCGUUGUGAAAGCCCCGGGCUCAACCUGGGAAUGGCAGUGGAAACUAGGGGACUGGAAUCUGGGAGAGGGGGGUGGAAUGCCGCGUGUAGCAGUGAAAUGCGUAGAGAUGCGGCGGAACACCGAUGGCGAAGGCAGCCCCCUGGGCUGAGAUUGACGCUCAGGCACGAAAGCGUGGGGAGCAAACAGG
rnacentral:rRNA from 1 species